rnacentral:rRNA from 1 species
GACAGAGGCCCCGAGCGUUAGGCGGAAUCACUGGGCUUAAAGCGUGUGUAGGCGGACCCCUAAGUGUCUUGUGAAAUCCCACGGCUCACCCGUGGAACUGCUGGGCAUACUGGGGGUCUUGGGCCGUUCAGGGGCGACUGGAACAAGCGGUGGAGCGGUGAAAUGCGUAGAUAUCGCUUGGAACGCCGAAGGUGAAAACAGGUCGCUGGGGACGCGCCG